rnacentral:rRNA from 1 species
UACGGAGGGUGCAAGCGUUAAUCGGAAUAAUUGGGCGUAAAGGGUGCGCAGGCUGUAUGUUAAGUCAACUGUUAAAUUCUUCAGCCUAACUGAGGGUCUGCGGUAGAUACUGGCAAACUAGAGUAUGGAAGAGAGAAGUGGAAUUCUCGGAGUAGCGGUAAAAUGCGUAGAUCUCGAGAGGAACACCGAUGGCGAAGGCAGCUUCUUGGUCCAUUUCUGACGCUGAGGCACGAAAGCGUGGGGAGCAAACAGG